rnacentral:rRNA from 1 species
GAUGAACGCUGGCGGCGUGCCUAAUACAUGCAAGUCGAGCGAACGGACGAGAAGCUUGCUUCUCUGAUGUUAGCGGCGGACGGGUGAGUAACACGUGGAUAACCUACCUAUAAGACUGGGAUAACUUCGGGAAACCGGAGCUAAUACCGGAUAAUAUUUUGAACCGCAUGGUUCAAAAGUUAAAGACGGUCUUGCUGUCACUUAUAGAUGGAUCCGCGCUGCAUUAGCUAGUUGGUAAGGUAACGGCUUACCAAGGCAACGAUGCAUAGCCGACCUGAGAGGGUGAUCGGCCACACUGGAACUGAGACACGGUCCAGACUCCUACGGGAGGCAGCAGUAGGGAAUCUUCCGCAAUGGGCGAAAGCCUGACGGAGCAACGCCGCGUGAGUGAUGAAGGUCUUCGGAUCGUAAAACUCUGUUAUUAGGGAAGAACAUAUGUGUAAGUAACUGCGCACAUCUUGACGGUACCUAAUCAGAAAGCAACGGCUAACUACGUG